AUUGAACGCUGGCGGCAUGCUUUACACAUGCAAGUCGAACGGUAACAGGCCGCAAGGUGCUGACGAGUGGCGAACGGGUGAGUAAUGCAUCGGAACGUGCCCAGUCGUGGGGGAUAACGCAGCGAAAGCUGCGCUAAUACCGCAUACGAUCUAUGGAUGAAAGCGGGGGACCGUAAGGCCUCGCGCGAUUGGAGCGGCCGAUGUCAGAUUAGGUAGUUGGUGGGGUAAAGGCUCACCAAGCCAACGAUCUGUAGCUGGUCUGAGAGGACGACCAGCCACACUGGGACUGAGACACGGCCCAGACUCCUACGGGAGGCAGCAGUGGGGAAUUUUGGACAAUGGGCGCAAGCCUGAUCCAGCAAUGCCGCGUGCAGGAAGAAGGCCUUCGGGUUGUAAAGCUCUGUGGGGAGGGACGAACAAGGUUGGAGUUAACACCUCCGGCCCCUGACGGUACCUCCUUAGCAAGCACCGGCUAACCAUGUGCCAGCAGCCGCAGUAAAAC
rnacentral:rRNA from 1 species